GUGGGGAAUAUUGGACAAUGGGCGAAAGCCUGAUCCAGCAACGCCGCGUGAGGGAUGAAUGCCUUCGGGUUGUAAACCUCUUUCGCCUGCGACGAAGCGAGAGUGACGGUAGCAGGUAAAGAAGCACCGGCCAACUACGUGCCAGCAGCCGCGGUAAUACGUAGGGUGCGAGCGUUGUCCGGAAUUAUUGGGCGUAAAGGGCUCGUAGGCGGUUUGUCACGUCGGGAGUGAAAACUCAGGGCUUAACUCUGAGCUGGCUUCCGAUACGGGCAGACUAGAGGUAUGCAGGGGAGAACGGAAUUCCUGGUGUAGCGGUGAAAUGCGCAGAUAUCAGGAGGAACACCGGUGGCGAAGGCGGUUCUCUGGGCAUUACCUGACGCUGAGGAGCGAAAGUGUGGGGAGCGAACAGGAUUAGAUACCCUAGUAGUCC
rnacentral:rRNA from 1 species